GAUGAUGAUGACCACUCGCUUUCAUCCAUGUCAUCUUCGAAAUGAAAAUGGAGUGUAUGAAUGUGUAUCUUGUUCCUUAAUUCAGCUUCUCCAGCAUCCGCAACCAGCUAAUUCCAAAUCACUCGUACUAGUAAAGUGGAUAUUCAGUUUCAGAGAUCCAGUGAGACGGUUUAAGUUUUUCAACAAUCCCAACUUCUUGUUAUAAACACUUCCUCCAUGGAACCAAUCCAAUUUCAAUGUGCGGAGACCAUGCAACUGACCUACUCCUUCA
rnacentral:lncRNA from 1 species